GGUUUCGUGGCAGCUCCAUAACUUGAGUUUUAGGGGUUUUCAAAGUAAACUUCGAAUCCAUAUUUGGCUAUUUGACCGGAAAGAUCUGAAGACUGAAGAAAUAAUUAAUUGUUCAGGAAUUCAUGGUGUUCUUUGUGCGGCUGAAUUCAUGUAGUACAAACACUACUGAGUAAUUUCA